GACGAACGCUGGCGGCGUGCUUAACACAUGCAAGUCGAACGGAAAGGCCCUGCUUUUGUGGGGUGCUCGAGUGGCGCACGGGUGAGUAACACGUGAGUAACCUGCCCUUGACUUUGGGAUAACUUCAGGAAACUGGGGCUAAUACCGGAUAGGAUCUCCUGCUGCAUGGUGGUGGUUGGAAAGUUUCGGCGGUUGGGGAUGGACUCGCGGCUUAUCAGCUUGUUGGUGGGGUAGUGGCUUACCAAGGCUUUGACGGGUAGCCGGCCUGAGAGGGUGACCGGCCACAUUGGGACUGAGAUACGGACCAGACUCCUACGGGAGGCAGCAGUGGGGAAUAUUGCACAAUGGGCGGAAGCCUGAUGCAGCAACGCCGCGUGCGGGAUGACGGCCUUCGGGUUGUAAACAGCUUUCGACUGUGACGAAGCGUGAGUGACGGUAAUGGGUAAAGAAGCACCGGCUAACUACGUG
rnacentral:rRNA from 1 species